rnacentral:rRNA from 1 species
AAAAAAAAAAAAAAAAAAAAAAAGUAAAAUCAUUGCUAAAAUAUUAGUGUAAGUAUUAUUUUUAUAACAAAGGUAAAGAGUUAGUUUAUAGAUUUAUAUUAUAGAAAUAUUUAUUAAAUUAGUUAAAUUUGUGCCAGCAUCUGCGGUUAUACUAAGGAUUUAAUUAAUAUUUUUUAGAAUUUAUAUAAUUAUAUAUUUUUAAAAUAGUAUUUGGUGAAAUAAGUUAUUUGAGUUAGUAAUUAUGUUAAUUAAUAUAGUUUUGGUUAAAGUAGGAUUAGAUACCCUGUUAUUUUAAUUUUUUGUUCUUCUAAGGAUUAAUGUUAAAUUUAAAAGAUUUGGCGGCUGAGAUAAAUUAAAGGAGUUUGUUUUUUAUUUGAGGAGACGCAUUAAAUUUUACUUGUUUUUUUUAGUAUACCGUCAUUUAAGAUAGUUUAUAAUUAAUUAACUAUUAUAGUGUUAUUAGAUAAGUUAGAUCAAGGUGCAGAUAUAGAUAAGGAGAAAUUAACUACAAUAGAUUAUUACUAUACUUAAAUUUUUUAAGAAGACUAUAUAGGUGGAUUUAAUUGUAAUUAUAAUUAUAUGAAAUUAUUUUUAGUGUACAAAUUGCCCGUCAUUCUCUAUGAGACAAGUCGAAACAAAGUAGGGCUAUCGGAAGUUGGACCUA